rnacentral:rRNA from 1 species
UAUGAACGCUGGCGGCGUGCCUAACACAUGCAAGUCGAACGAAGCAAUUAAGAUGAAGUUUUCGGAUGGAAUCUUGAUUGACUGAGUGGCGGACGGGUGAGUAACGCGUGGAUAACCUGCCUCACACUGGGGGAUAACAGUUAGAAAUGACUGCUAAUACCGCAUAAGCGCACAGUGCCGCAUGGCAGUGUGUGAAAAACUCCGGUGGUGUGAGAUGGAUCCGCGUCUGAUUAGCCAGUUGGCGGGGUAACGGCCCACCAAAGCGACGAUCAGUAGCCGACCUGAGAGGGUGACCGGCCACAUUGGGACUGAGACACGGCCCAAACUCCUACGGGAGGCAGCAGUGGGGAAUAUUGCACAAUGGGCGAAAGCCUGAUGCAGCGACGCCGCGUGAGUGAAGAAGUAUUUCGGUAUGUAAAGCUCUAUCAGCAGGGAAGAAAAUGACGGUACCUGACUAAGAAGCCCCGGCUAACUACGUGCCAGCAGCCGCGGUAAUACGUAGGGGGCAAGCGUUAUCCGGAUUUACUGGGUGUAAAGGGAGCGUAGACGGCGAAGCAAGUCUGAAGUGAAAACCCAGGGCUCAACCCUGGGACUGCUUUGGAAACUGUUUUGCUAGAGUGUCGGAGAGGUAAGUGGAAUUCCUAGUGUAGCGGUGAAAUGCGUAGAUAUUAGGAGGAACACCAGUGGCGAAGGCGGCUUACUGGACGAUAACUGACGUUGAGGCUCGAAAGCGUGGGGGAGCAAACAGGAUUAGAUACCCUGGUAGUCCACGCUGUAAACGAUGAAUGCUAGGUGUUGGGGGGCAAAGCCCUUCGGUGCCGCCGCAAACGCAGUAAGCAUUCCACCUGGGGAGUACGUUCGCAAGAAUGAAACUCAAAGGAAUUGACGGGGACCCGCACAAGCGGUGGAGCAUGUGGUUUAAUUCGAAGCAACGCGAAGAACCUUACCAAGUCUUGACAUCCCCCUGACGGGCCGGUAACGCGGCCCUUCCUUCGGGACAGGGGAGACAGGUGGUGCAUGGUUGUCGUCAGCUCGUGUCGUGAGAUGUUGGGUUAAGUCCCGCAACGAGCGCAACCCUUAUCCUUAGUAGCCAGCACGUGAAGGUGGGCACUCUAGGGAGACUGCCGGGGAUAACCUGGAGGAAGGUGGGGAUGACGUCAAAUCAUCAUGCCCCUUAUGAUUUGGGCUACACACGUGCUACAAUGGCGUAAACAAAGGGAAGCGAGACAGUGAUGUGGAGCAAAUCCCAAAAAUAACGUCCCAGUUCGGACUGUAGUCUGCAACCCGACUACACGAAGCUGGAAUCGCUAGUAAUCGCGAAUCAGAAUGUCGCGGUGAAUACGUUCCCGGGUCUUGUACACACCGCCCGUCACACCAUGGGAGUCAGCAACGCCCGAAGUCAGUGACCCAACCGAAAGGAGGGAGCUGCCGAAGGCGGGGCAGGUAAC